AUCCGGGCUAGAAGCGACGCA
rnacentral:snRNA from 1 species